rnacentral:rRNA from 1 species
AUUUGCCUACGGGACGCAGCAGUGAGGAAUAUUGGUCAAUGGUCGGGAGACUGAACCAGCCACGCCGCGUGAGGGAUGAAGGUACAGAGUAUCGUAAACCUCUUUUGUCAGGGAACAAAGGCGGGGACGUGUCCCCGGAUGAGUGUAACUGAAGAAAAAGCAUCGGCUAACUCCAUGCCAGCAGCCGCGGUAAUACGGAGGAUGCGAGCGUUAUCCGGAUUUAUUGGGUUUAAAGGGUGCGCAGGCGGAGG